GGCGGGUCCUGGGAUGCUGCGGUGCCGGGUCCGCUUCACACCCGUAUCACGACCGCGAAUCUCCGAGCUGCUCAGGUCUGCAUGGUUCUUGAGCUCUUCCCACUGCAGGAGCUUAGAAGUGACAACCUGACCCAAAAAGGUCCAGAUCAUGACUUCACAAGAGACUCAUCUGGGAAAGAAAGACAGGGCUGAACUGAAGAUGUUAGGCACGGGCUUGAACGCUAGAAGGAGGAACAAGCCCACUGAAAGCAUGAAUUUGAUGGUGCUGACAAGCAGUGUUUUGAAAGCGGGAUGUGCACCCUUACCUGCCAGGACCACCACCUCUGUUUCUGAGGGCUCCCUGGCAUUGCGCUGCAGUUGGCGCUUGG
ensembl:lncRNA